rfam:Ipomoea nil DNA, scaffold: scaffold2694, cultivar: Tokyo-kokei standard.
GCGUGGAUAGCUCAGUUGGGAGAGUGUCAGAUUGAAGAUCUGAAGGUCACUUGUUCGAUCCACGUUCACCGCA